GUCCCUGUAGCUCAGAUGGAUAGAGCACAGGAUUCCUAAUCCUGUUGUCGGCAGUUCGAAUCUGCCCAGGGACACCA
rnacentral:tRNA from 4 species